GAGUUUGAUCCUGGCUCAGGAUGAACGCUAGCGGUAGGCUUAACACAUGAAGUCGAACGGUAACAGGAAUAGCAAUAUUUGCUGACGAGUGGCGCACGGUGAGUAACGCGUAUGCAACCUACCCUUAACAGGCGAAUAGCCCGGGGAACUCGGAUUAAUACGCCGUAUAAUUAACGAGAAGCAUUUUUUGUUAAUGAAGAGAUAUCGGUUAAGGAUGGGCAUGCGUGCCAUUAGCUAGUUGGAGAGUAACGGCUCACCAAGGCGACGAUGGCUAGGGGUUCUAAAAGGACAACCCCCACACUGGUACUGAGACACGGACCAGACUCCUACGGGAGGCAGCAGUAGGAAUAUUGGUCAAUGGGUGCAAACCUGAACCAGCCAAGCCGCGUGCAGAUGACGGCCCUAUGGGUUGUAAACUGCUUUUUUAUCGGAGGAAUGUCGUACGCGUAACGAUUUGACAGUACGAUAAGAAUAAGCAUCGGCUAACUCCUGCCAGCAGCCGCGGUAAUACGGAGGAUGCAGGCGUUAUCCGGAUUUAUAGGUUUAAAGGGUGCGUAGGCUGAAUAUUAAGUCAGUGGUGAAAUACUUGGCUUAACCUAAGGGCUGCCAUUGAUACUAUUAUUCUUGAGUAAAGUCGGGUAGGCGGAAUGUGUAGUGUAGCGGUGAAAUGCAUAGAUAUUACACAGACACCAAUUGCGAAGGCAGCUUACUAGAGUUUAACUGACGCUGAUGCACCAAAGCGUGGGGAUCAAAAAGGAUUAGAUACCCUGGU
rnacentral:rRNA from 1 species